UAAAAACAUCAUCAGACGGACAAAAAGGGCCAUGAUACAAAAAAAUAGGUCAAAAACUCCUGCUCUACAUGAUGUCAUGGAAUUGCACACUGCAUUUGAGGCUCUUCAUAGACUGAUGGAGUUAAUUCAAUUAAAUUCACACAAUCAACAUUUAUCAAGUGCCUGCCAUGAGCUAGGCUCUGAGGACACAAAGAUGAAGAGAGGACAAAAGAAAAGUUUUCUCUGAUUUCAAAAAGCUUAAAAUCUAACCUGGGGAACCUGUAAAUACAUAAAUAAAUUCAAAGUUGUGAUGAAGAGUAGAGACUGAGGAGAGGUUUCAUAGACUUUAGCCCCUCUUCGAGGAAGAUAGGGAAUCUGAAAGGCAGACUUGAGAAGGCUAUGUGGGCAGCAUAUUCUAGCUAUGCAGGACAGUGUGUACGAAUGCAUGGAGGCAAGAGAUGGAGGGUGGACAAGUCCAGCCUGGCCAGAACAUAAUGUUACUCCUUAAAAAGCCCUGGAAGGCAUUUUUCUAAGGGCAGAGAAAAUUCAGCACUUGGCAACAUGUCUCUGGGAGAUCUAAGAACUUAAUGAGUCUUAAAAGGACAUUGAUACUUCCUCCCCUUUUCCCCCUCUUGUUUUGGAAGAUCUCAUGUGCAAAGGAGAAAAGUGAAGAGAAAUUCUGGGCCCCUAAUCUGAGAGAUGAUCACUGAAGCACAAGAUGCAGCCAGAGUUAAGCUGCUACUGAGCAUUCCUUGGAGCUACCUCUGCCUAUUCUGAGUUGGGAUAGAAUGGGCCUAAAAAAAAGAAGACAAUGGAAGCUUCCUCUGACCUGAUUAGUUGACUGAGCAACUAAGAAGAUGAAGGGCUUGGACUGAGAAAUCUGACUAGUUCAAAGGCCCAAAAAACAUCCACAUGUCUUACAUCAUCCUUGGAAAGCACUCCAACAAAGGGGAGUCAUCAGUGGCAGUCUUUCAGGAAGACCCUGCACCCCUGGGCCUUGCCAUCAGCCUGCUGCCAUCCCGGUCCUGACCCGCUCCUGCACCCAAGAAGUCCAGGGCUUUCCUCAGGUCCUGCAGCUCGGCCGCCCGUGAAGGAUCUUAGAGAUGAAUAAGAUCUUGUGAGAUCUGGGAGCUGGAAUCUAUAAUAGGACUUGCCAAAAGCCAGAGAAGCAUCUGCCCAUCCAGUCCUGAGCAGGUGAGAUACACCCUCAUCCAUCCAUUGGCUAUACCACAUUAGGAAGUGAACCCAGUAGAGCAAAUUUGAUAAGGAAAUCACUUUAAGUCCAAGCUCACUCUCCCAAGACCAACCAUAAAUGGUGGGAGAAAAUGUUUAUAACUGCUUUUCUUGUUUAUCUUCACAAUAAAUAUCCUUAAUAAAAGCUAACAUAUUUAUUGUUUAAAUAAAAUUGGGACACUAAAAGUGGUUUUGGCUAUACCGCUUCAGGAAGUGAACCCAGUAAAGCAAAUUGAUAAGGAAAUCACUUUUAAGUUUGAGCUCACUCUCCCAAGAGCAACCAUGAGUGUUGAGGGAAAAUAUUUAUAAAUGUCUUUCUUGUUUAUCUUUGCAAUAAGUAUCCCUAAUAAAAGCUAACUGAUGUUCACUGUUUAAAUAAAAUCAGGACACUAAAGUUGUUCAGUCAUGUCUGACACUUCAUGACCCCAUUUGGGGUUUUCUUGGCAAAGACACUCCAGGAAUUCUCUCUGGCUCUCCCCAAAGCCUAGAGUGCUUGCCCUCCUCUGCACCAACUACUGACCUCCCUGGCCUUUUAAGUCACAACUAAAAUCCCACCUCGAACAGGAAGGAAGUUUCCCAAAUCCUUUUAAUUCCAGUGCCUUCCCUCCAUUAAUGAUUUUCUAUUUGUCCUAUAUCUAGCCUCCUUGUAUAUAUGUUUGUUUGCAUGUUACUCCUUCCCUAUUAGAUUAUAACCUCCUGGAGGGUACCCAACUAUCUUGUGCCUUUAUUCAUAUACCCAGUGCCUGGCACAUAGAAAGUGCUUUAAACAUAUUUUUUAAAUUGAAUUCAGCUUUUGUUCCCAGUUUUAUUUCCUUGCUAAUCAAAAUAGAGUUUAAGGUUCAGCUUAAAACACCAGCCUCCGAAUAGCUCCUGUGGGUUUUGGGAAAGCACUGGACUCGGUUAUGAGGACAAAGAAUUCCAGUAAGAGAUGUAAAUGCAGUUAAAAGGAACUGCUUCUCUUUUCAACAAUGAGGUGAUUCAGGCCAAUUCCAAUGAACUUGUGAUGGAGAGAGCCAUCUGCAACCAGAGAGAGAAUUAUGGGGACAAAAUGUGGAUCACAACCUAGGAUUUUCACCUACUUUGUUGUUGGGACUUGGUUGUUUCUUUUCCUCUCAUUUUUUUUUCCUUUUUGAUCUGAUUUUUCUU